rnacentral:rRNA from 1 species
AUUGAACGCUGGCGGCAGGCCUAACACAUGCAAGUCGAGCGGAUCGGCGGACGGGUGAGUAAUGCCUAGGAAUCUGCCUGUUAGUGGGGGCGAACGUCCGGAACCGGGCGCUAAUACUGCAUACUAUCACAUGAGCCUAGGUAGGAUUAGCUAGUUGGUGGGGUAAAGGCCUACCAAGGCGACGAUCCGUAACUGGUCUGAGAGGAUGAUCAGUCACAAUGGAACUGAGACACGGUCCAGACUCCGACGGGAGGCAGCAGUGGGGAAUAUUGGACAAUGGGCGAAAGCCUGAUCCAGCCAUGCCGCGUGUGUGAAGAAGGUCUUCGGAUUGUAAAGCACUUUAAGUUGGGAGGCGUUACCAACAGAAUAAGCACCGGCUAACUGCGUGCCAGCAGCCGCGGUAAUUC